CGGACGGGUGAGUAACGCGUGGAAAACCUGCCGUAUACUGGGGGAUAACACUUAGAAAUAGGUGCUAAUACCGCAUAAGCGCACAGCUUCGCAUGAAGCGGUGUGAAAAACUCUGGUGGUAUACGAUGGUUCCGCGUCUGAUUAGCUAGUUGGUGGGGUAAUGGCCUACCAAGGCAACGAUCAGUAGCCGGCCUGAGAGGGUGAACGGCCACAUUGGGACUGAGACACGGCCAAACUCCUACGGAAGGCAGCAG
rnacentral:rRNA from 1 species